GAGCCGGGAUCGAGACUAUUUCGCACCCUUGCCCACCCCGCCUCUAAAAUUUGUGUUCUUCUCGUCAUGUGGUGUUCUUCGAGGAGGAAAUCUUUUUCAUCGAAAUUGCCACACAUACAUACACAGAGACACAUACUUCACAUUUGAGACAGAAAAUCAAAAAAGAAGAAACAAAAGAAAAGAAAAUCUUCGCAGAAAAUUAUGGCUUCAAAGGAGACCCAAGACUUCUAGCCAUUUCUCAAACCAUCAGAGUGGUUCCUCACUUCCCCAAAUAAGGUACAAAUUCAUAUGCAUUUUGUGCAAGUAUUGAAGAUCCAAAAUAAAUGAGCAAUAUAUUCGUACAUCCGUUGUGAUAGAUCUUUUGUUGGGGAUGUGCAAUGACCAGAAAUACGAGUUUCAGAAGAAGAUUAAUGAUUUCUGGGCUACUCUUUAAAGUGAAUAGCAUGGAGAUCAACAUUUUUACUUUUUUAGUUAUUAUUUGAAAAAUUUGCUGUAAUCCUCAAUUAUGUUUGUGUAUUAAUUUAGUUAUUGGUGUGAAUAAAUAAUUGUAACUUUAUGCUUGUCUAUUAUAAUCUAAAUAGCCUGUGCUAAGAAUUAUUAUUAUGAUCAUAGAUAUUUAGGAAUAUAUUCAUCAUGUGUUCUUUGUCAUUUCAAUUUGAAAAUGAUUAGUUAAAGAUUCAUACAUGAUUAUAACUACACGACCCUCAUGCCAUAGCUAGGAAGCCUUUCAUGCAUCAUGCACAUAUUCCUCUAAUCCCAUUUUAUACAGGUAUGAAAUACACACGCUUUAUUUGUGAAUGAAACUUUGAAAUGGAGGAUUUUGGUUGAUUUCUGACUUUCCAAGCUUCUUGAGAUCCGUAACUCCCACAAUUUCUAAUCCGAUAAACGUGAUCGCAUCUUCCUCCUCUACACAGUGACGUGCAUUUUAUUCAGUGGAAUCACAAAGUGAAGCUGUCCCUACCGGGAACCAAUUCAGCCAAACCAAAGAAGGAGAGGAACCACUGAGUUUUCGACAUUUUUGCUCUAUUUUACCGAUCAGAAAUCUUCUCCGAUAUCUUGUGUGUGUUCUGCGCUUUAUAGAGGUAGGGUUUGACUCUUUAAUUGGUUAAAAUUAUGAAUUAAUUGAUAUAUGUGAUUAGAUUAUUGUUUGUUGAUAUUUGUUCAAAUCUGUGAUUAUUGGUUGUUGAAAUUUUAGUUGAAUUACUGCUGGAAAUUGUUGUUGUGAUUCGGCCAUGUUGAGGAAUUGGAAACUAA